GCUGUGGCUCAGUGGUAGAAGCAUCUGCUUUGCAUGCAGGAAGUCCCACAUUCAAUUCCCAGCAUCUGCA